UAAUACGGAAGGGGCAAGCGUUGUUCGGAAUCAUUGGGCGUAAAGGGCGCGUAGGCGGUCGCGUGUGUCUGCUGUGAAAGCGCACGGCUCAACCGUGUGAAGUCGGUAGAAACUGCGGGACUUGAGGCUGGGAGAGGUUGGUGGAAUUCCCUGUGUAGCGGUGAAAUGCGUAGAUAUAGGGGAGAACACUCGUGGCGAAGGCGGCCAGCUGGACCAGCCCUGACGCUGAGGCGCGACAGCGUGGGGAGCAAACAGGAUUAGAUACCCUGGUAGUCCACGCCGUAAACGAUGGGCACUAGGUGUUGGCGGUACUGAUUCCGUCGGCGCCGGCGUUAACGCAGUAAGUGCCCCGCCUGGGGAGUACGGUCGCAAGGCUG
rnacentral:rRNA from 1 species